rnacentral:rRNA from 1 species
GAAGGUAGCAUAAUCAGUAGUCUUUUAAUUGAAGGCUUGUAUGAAUGAUUGGACGAGAUAUUAACUGUUUCAUUUAAAAUUUUUAUAGAAUUUUAUUUUUUAGUUAAAAAGCUAAAAUUAUAUUAAAAGACGAGAAGACCCUAUAAAUCUUAAUAUUUAUUAUUAUUUUAAUUAUAAAGAUUAUUUUAAUUAUGAUUUUUAUAAAUAUUUUAUUGGGGUGAUAUUAAAAUUUAAAAAACUUUUAAUUUUUUAUAACAUUGAUUUAUGAUUAACUGAUCCAUUAUUAAUGAUUAAAAAUUUAAGUUACUUUAGGGAUAACAGCGUAAUUUUUUUGGAGAGUUCAUAUCGAUAAAAAAGAUUGCGACCUCGAUGUUGGAUUAA